AUUGAACGCUGGCGGCAUGCCUUACACAUGCAAGUCGAACGGCAGCACGGGUGCUUGCACCUGGUGGCGAGUGGCGAACGGGUGAGUAAUACAUCGGAACAUGUCCUGUAGUGGGGGAUAGCCCGGCGAAAGCCGGAUUAAUACCGCAUACGAUCUACGGAUGAAAGCGGGGGACCUGCGGGCCUCGCGCUAUGGGGUUGGCCGAUGGCUGAUUAGCUAGUUGGUGGGGUAAAGGCCUACCAAGGCGACGAUCAGUAGCUGGUCUGAGAGGACGACCAGCCACACUGGGACUGAGACACGGCUCAGACUCCUACGGGAGGCAGCAGUGGGGAAUUUUGGACAAUGGGCGAAAGCCUGAUCCAGCAAUGCCGCGUGUGUGAAGAAGGCCUUCGGGUUGUAAAGCACUUUUGUCCGGAAAGAAAUCCUUGGCUCUAAUACAGUCGGGGGAUGACGGUACCGGAAGAAUAAGCACCGGCUAACUACGUG
rnacentral:rRNA from 1 species